GAUGAAGAACGCAGCAAAAUGCGAUAAGUAAUGUGAAUUGCAGAAUUCAGUGAAUCAUCGAAUCUUUGAACGCACAUUGCGCCCGCUGGUAUUCCGGCGGGCAUGCCUGUUCGAGCGUCAUUUCAACCCUCAAGCCCCCGGGUUUGGUGUUGGGGAUCGGCUCUGCCCUUCUGGGCGGUGCCGCCCCCGAAAUACAUUGGCGGUCUCGCUGCAGCCUCCAUUGCGUAGUAGCUAACACCUCGCAACUGGAACGCGGCGCGGCCAUGCCGUAAAACCCCAACUUCUGAAUGUUGACCUCGGAUCAGGUAGGUAUACCCGCUGAACUUAAGCAUAUCAAUAAGCGGAGGA
rnacentral:misc_RNA from 1 species